UACGUAGGAUGCAAGCGUUGUCCGGAAUUAUUGGGCGUAAAGAGUUCGUAGGUGGUUAUCUAAGUCUGGUGUUAAAGACGGGAGCUCAACUCCCGCAUGGCAUCGGAAACUGGAUGGCUAGAGUGUGAAAGAGGUAACUGGAAUUCCCAGUGUAGCGGUGAAAUGCGUAGAUAUUGGGAAGAACACCGGAGGCGAAGGCGGAUUGCUGGGCCGACACUGACGCUGAGGCGCGAAAGCCAGGGGAGCGAACGGG
rnacentral:rRNA from 1 species